rnacentral:rRNA from 1 species
GCGCGUGCUUUACCUGCAGUCGACGAUGAUGCCAGCUUGCUGGUGGAUUAGUGGCGAACGGGUGAGUAACACGUGAGCAACCUGCCCCUGACUUCGGGAUAACCGCGGGAAACCGUGGCUAAUACCGGAUAUGACGUGCCCUCGCAUGGGGGUGUGUGGAAAGACUGUGUCGGUUGGGGAUGGGCUCGCGGCCUAUCAGCUUGUUGGUGGGGUGAUGGCCUACCAAGGCGACGACGGGUAGCCGGCCUGAGAGGGUGACCGGCCACACUGGGACUGAGACACGGCCCAGACUCCUACGGGAGGCAGCAGUGGGGAAUAUUGCACAAUGGGCGCAAGCCUGAUGCAGCGACGCCGCGUGAGGGAUGACGGCCUUCGGGUUGUAAACCUCUUUCAGUAGGGAAGAAGCUCUUCGGGGUGACGGUACCUGCAGAAGAAGCGCCGGCUAACUACGUGCCAGCAGCCGCGGUAAUACGUAGGGCGCAAGCGUUGUCCGGAAUUAUUGGGCGUAAAGAGCUCGUAGGCGGUUUGUCGCGUCUGCUGUGAAAACGCGAGGCUUAACCUCGCGCCUGCAGUGGGUACGGGCAGACUAGAGUGCGGUAGGGGAGACUGGAAUUCCUGGUGUAGCGGUGGAAUGCGCAGAUAUCAGGAGGAACACCGGUGGCGAAGGCGGGUCUCUGGGCCGUUACUGACGCUGAGGAGCGAAAGCAUGGGGAGCGAACAGGAUUAGAUACCCUGGUAGUCCAUGCCGUAAACGUUGGGCACUAGGUGUGGGGCCCAUUCCACGGGUUCCGUGCCGCAGCUAACGCAUUAAGUGCCCCGCCUGGGGAGUACGGCCGCAAGGCUAAAACUCAAAGGAAUUGACGGGGGCCCGCACAAGCGGCGGAGCAUGCGGAUUAAUUCGAUGCAACGCGAAGAACCUUACCAAGGCUUGACUUACACCGGAAACAUCCAGAAAUGGGUGCCCCGCAAGGUCGGUGUACAGGUGGUGCAUGGUUGUCGUCAGCUCGUGUCGUGAGAUGUUGGGUUAGUCCCGCACCGAGCGCACCCUUGUCCUGGGUUGCAACCGGUUAUGCCCGGGAACCAUGGGAAAUUGC